CUACGGGGUGCACCAGUGAGGAAUAUUGCUCAAUGGGGGGAACCCUGAUGCAGCAACGCCGCGUGGAGGAUGACGCAUUUCGGUGUGUAAACUCCUUUUAUAUGUCAAGAAAAUGACGGUAGCAUAUGAAUAAGCACCGGCUAACUCCGUGCCAGCAGCCGCGGUAAUACGGAGGGUGCAAGCGUUACUCGGAAUCACUGGGCGUAAAGGACGCGUAGGCGGGUUGGAAAGUCAGGUGUGAAAUCCUACAGCUUAACUGUAGAACUGCACUUGAAACUUCUAAUCUAGAGUAUGGGAGGGGGAGAUGGAAUUAGUGGUGUAGGGGUAAAAUCCGUAGAUAUCACUAGGAAUACCUAAAGCGAAGGCGAUCUCCUGGAACAUUACUGACGCUAAGGCGUGAAAGCGUGGGGAGCAAACAGGAUUAGAACCCUGGUAGUC
rnacentral:rRNA from 1 species